rnacentral:tRNA from 1 species
GGAGAGAUGGCUCAGUGGUUAAGAGCACUGCCUGCUCCUCUAGAGGUCCUGAGUUCAAUUCCCAGCAACCACUCUG